UAUAGAUACCCUGGUAGUCCACGCCGUAAACGAUGAGUGCUAAGUGUUAGAGGGUUUCCGCCCUUUAGUGCUGAAGUUAACGCAUUAAGCACUCCGCCUGGGGAGUACGGCCGCAAGGCUGAAACUCAAAGGAAUUGACGGGGGCCCGCACAAGCGGUGGAGCAUGUGGUUUAAUUCGAAGCAACGCGAAGAACCUUACCAGGUCUUGACAUCCUCUGACAACCCUAGAGAUAGGGCUUCCCCUUCGGGGGCAGAGUGACAGGCGGUGCAUGGUUGUCGUCAGCUCGUGUCGUGAGAUGUUGGGUUAAGUCCCGCAACGAGCGCAACCCUUGAUCUUAGUUGCCAUCAUUCAGUUGGGCACUCUAAGGUGACUGCCGGUGACAAACCGGAGGAAGGUGGGGAUGACGUCAAAUCAUCAUGCCCCUUAUGACCUGGGCUACACACGUGCUACAAUGGACGGUACAAAGAGUCGCGAGACCGCGAGGUGGAGCUAAUCUCAUAAAACCGUUCUCAGUUCGGAUUGUAGGCUGCAA
rnacentral:rRNA from 1 species